AACGUGAGCGUCCCGCCUGUCGCGUGUCCUGCCUUGGUAAGCGCUCUCUCCGGUCCUUCCACACUGAAAGCUUCCAGCAGAGAUCAAGGGAAGGAGUAUUGUGUGAGACUUGCCUAUUUCCUCCUUUCUGUCUGGACUGGUUUGAUAUUUGCCUGUUGAAAAGAUUACUGAACGCAGUGUGACAAGAUGAGCCGUCUAGCUGCGUUCUGCUUGCCUGUGUGUGUGACACGUCCAGGUGUGAGGCCAAACCUGAGAAGUGCAGACUGCUCACUGAUAGACGUUGCUGUAAACAGCAGUGCCCUGGGUGUACAGCUGGUCUCAGGAUCGGAGACCCCGGACUUAUUCUCUGCUCGGUGACACGGCCGGCUUCCUGCCGCAGAGCUCCUGGUUUCUGUUGAUGGCAGUUGAUAAUUGGUAGCCACCGUCUGCGGUCGGAGCCACAGCAUUUGAGUCUAGCACCUGGGGUGGGCCCUGCUGAUACAGUAGAGAGAGAGUGAACGAGGCAGACAGAAACACACCCCCCUCUUCCACGCUCACACACUCUCCCACACCCCAUGCCAGCUAUAACUGCAGCUCUGAGCUGCCUGGAGAGGAGUUUGCCGGAAGCUGAAGGGAUGCUUUGAACGUGGGGGGGCUGCGUCACAGUUGGACUCCCACUUGCAGAGGACCUGAUUAUGUCCAGUGACCACCUGAACAACAGCACACUGAAGGAGGCUCAGUUCAAAGACCUGUUCUUAAAAAAAGGUACAUUUCCCAAGAACUGCUAUGGAUGAUGCAUGCUCUUUCAGGUUUGCUGUGGUUCUUCUUGGAGUUUGGUCUGAGGACAGAGUUGAGAAGAGGAGAAGCUCUUUCUCAAGAAGUUUCUUUCUACCUAAGAGGGGUCUGUCAACUGAGAACAUUUCCGGGUGGGACUCCCUUUAGGAAGAUGCAUGUCAGGCUUUUUCAUCUUCUUUCAAGCCUGGAAUUAGUUUGUUCCUGUUGGAGGUAUUAUGCAUGAGUACACAGUUUGUUGCUUUGGAGUUUUGUUUUUUUCAAAUGUCUGUAUAUGAGGCUGAGACCUCCCCUGGAAAUGCUGCUACUUGUUAAUAGUUCCUUUUUCUUCACCCUCAUGAGCUGAAAACUGCAUUUUAAAGAAAAGGUAUUUCUCAGGAUGUGGCUGGUUCAUUGAACACUUUCUUAGGUCAUCCGUGUAGUGACAGGAGCUAUUAGGAAGGAGAACUGUGACUCUGAGAGAUGGGAGAGCCAAAGAAAGUGAGAGACAGACAGACUGGCUGUGGGAUGAGAGCCUCAGAAGCCACCACUCUCCCCUGUGGAAAUGAAGGUUCCAUUCCAUGUGCAGCUGUGUUUUUUUUCUGAUGCACUUUCCUAAAUUAAUAAUGUGGAGGUGGAGGUGAGGGUGGAUUUUAAAUGAAUCCUAUAGGGGGAAUUAUGGCUUAUGUAUGUAUUUUUUUCCAUUUAUAGCAUGGCAGAGGGAUAGACUUUUAAAAGGUUUAUAAUUGCUCUUACUCCUCUGCUGAUUUUUUAGAAAAUCCUGUCAGUCAUCUUUGAUCAGAACAUAUUUAGGUAAAUUUCUUUCUGAAGAGAUCAUGAAACUCUAGAUUCUAAAAUGCGUGGUGAGAAGUAAUUGUAGUGGAUGAAGACUUGGGCUUUCAUAAAGUGAGGAGAUGCCACUCCAGCCGGACAGGCUCAUGGAGUCUGCAUUCGAGGGAUUCCCUAGUCCGUCCAGUCAUCACGGGCUGCUGCCCACCUGCCUGUGCCGUCCGAGGCACCUGGCCUUGGGCCGGUAUCAGGUAGCCGUGCCUGGGCCACACCUGCCCUCCACGUUCAUCUCUCCACCUACAGAUCAUUGGGACCAUUUCCUCAUUUUAUUAUCAUGUAAAUGUUGUACAUAAAUACAUGGCUAUAAACAGGCAGCUCAGAGUAACCAGGAGGCUCUUUUCUCAGUGACAGAUCACACCCUCUUAGAGUAGUAAUUUUUGAAUAAUUAUUGCAAAAUAUGAAAACCUUCAGCAAAACUCCAGCACCACUGAAGUCGUCAGGAAGUGUUUGGGAGAAUACGUGUCUGUGCUGGAUGCUGUUGAAGCAGGUCAGGUCGUUGGGGUCCCUUCCUUCUUAGGGCUUCUCCACCAGCUUCUAAAUAGGGAAUGCCAACUUUGUGCCAGGCACACACUACCUGCUGAGACACUGUGGAUGAACAAGGCGUUGACCCAGGGCUCACUCUGUGGAGGAAGAAGACUGGAGAAUGGGUACCACCAAGACAGUGAUAAGUGCUGGAACAGGGUUCAGAGCUGCACAGGAAGUCCCCAAAGGUAGUGAACCCAUCAUCGGGGCUUAGGAAAGAGCUUUUAAAGGAAGAUAAAGCCAGCAGGUGACACCAAAACCUGGGUAUUUCUGUAGGGUAGCUUUUUUCCCUUUCGUUCUACUUGUUGUACUAUACAGUAGAGUAGCCAACCCACCUCCAAGGAAAAUAAAAUUCAAAAUAUAUAAUGUAAUCAGUAUGAUGAUAGCUCUUAUUGUUUUGCUUCUGUACUUCAAGCUGUGAAGUCAUUCUUGUAACACAGGCUGAAUUUUCCCCCUCAACCAUGGUGUUUAAUGAGUGUGAAUCUUCAUUCAACCAUUAAAAUCUCCAAGAGUAUUUUUAUACUAACAGUUCACAAACUUGAGGCAAUUAUAGUCUAAGUAGAUUCCAACUCCUGCCCCCACCCGUCUUCCUGCCACCACCGCCGCCCGGUCUCUGGAGGAUCUUGGAAAGAAUUUACCAGCCUUUAGGAACAUUCAGCACUUUAAAAGUGUCACAGAGCCAUAAAUAAAGAGUAAGACACCCCUAAGACUGUCAUCUCAUCACCACACCCGUCUCUGCUGAGGAGGACAGAGACAGGAAGGAAAUGCGACAAGUUCACUGUGCAGUAGCCAAGCAGGCCCAGCCACAUGUGGGAGGGUGGGACAGGAGAGCGUGCAGGGGAAGGGGCUGCCUGGAGGUAAGGCUCUGUGGCCAGCCAGCCCCGGGUUUGGUGCUCCAGGAGAGGCCAGCACGUAGGGGAGUGAGGUGGGGUGCUGCUGUUGGUAGGGUAGGAAGUGACCACACAGGGUGGGGCCAGGGCUUCGUGGCCAGUGGGCGGCUGUUUCUGUGACAUUGCAAUGUUCUGCGUGGAACGUUUUCUGGAUUCCUGCCAAGGUGUUUACUUGGCCUGGGGAAAGAGAGGAACGCAUGAGGGGCCCAGACCUUGCCCCCUGCCCCAUGAUAGGGUCUCUGAGGGCGUACAUUACACAUCUGGAGCUUAAAAAGAAUUAAACUGUAGAAAUAGGACUUCAGUGAAGGAUAAUAUAUUAGUGGAGGAAAGACCAAAUGGAAGAUGGUGUUAACCAUCCCACAAAUAGAAAUGAGUGUUAUAUUAGGAGCCUAAGGUGGGACAACCGCACUUCCCCAGAGCUCUUUAAAAAUAGCGCAGACACUCAUGCCUCUAGUAUGAUUCAGUUCAGCUCCUCAUUGAACCAGGGAAGAGACCGACAGACUUCACACCACUUCUGUUCCUGUAAUUCUCCACUGUGCAGCUUGGGAUUUCCUGGAGAUGUUUCCAUAAAAAUAGAGAGAUGCCAUCAUCACUGUCGUCACUGUCACUGCUGUACAAUAAUAAAAGAAGGUGCUAGGAUGCCUUCCUGUAAGUUUUAGACUAGAUGUAUUAAAAAGUAUCCGGUA
rnacentral:sRNA from 1 species